rnacentral:rRNA from 1 species
UUCGGUGGGGAUUAGUGGCGAACGGGUGAGUAACACGUGGGCAAUCUGCCCUUCACUCUGGGACAAGCCCUGGAAACGGGGUCUAAUACCGGAUAUCACUCCUGCAGGCAUCUGCAGGGGUCGAAAGCUCCGGCGGUGAAGGAUGAGCCCGCGGCCUAUCAGCUUGUUGGUGAGGUAAUGGCUCACCAAGGCGACGACGGGUAGCCGGCCUGAGAGGGCGACCGGCCACACUGGGAAUUGAGACACCGGCCCAAGACUCCUUACGGAAGGCAGCCAGUGGGGGAAUAUUGCACCAAUGGGCGGAAACCCUGAUGCAGCGACGCCCGCGUGAGGGGAUGACGGCCUUUCGGGUUGUAAACCUCUUUUCAGCAGGGAAGAAGCGAAAGUGACGGUACCUGCAGAAGAAGCGCCGGCUAAAUUACGUGCCAGCAGCCGCGGUAAUACGUAGGGCGCAAAGCGUUGUCCCGGAAUUAUUGGGCGUAAAGAGCUCGUAGGCGGCUUGUCACGUCGGGUGUGAAAGCCCGGGGCUUAACCCCGGGUCUGCAUUCGAUACGGGCUAGCUAGAGUGUGGUAGGGGAGAUCGGAAUUCCUGGUGUAGCGGUGAAAUGCGCAGAUAUCAGGAGGAACACCGGUGGCGAAGGCGGAUCUCUGGGCCAUUACUGACGCUGAGGAGCGAAAGCGUGGGGAGCGAACAGGAUUAGAUACCCUGGUAGUCCACGCCGUAAACGGUGGGAACUAGGUGUUGGCGACAUUCCACGUCGUCGGUGCCGCAGCUAACGCAUUAAGUUCCCCGCCUGGGGAGUACGGCCGCAAGGCUAAAACUCAAAGGAAUUGACGGGGGCCCGCACAAGCAGCGGAGCAUGUGGCUUAAUUCGACGCAACGCGAAGAACCUUACCAAGGCUUGACAUACACCGGAAACGUCUGGAGACAGGCGCCCCCUUGUGGUCGGUGUACAGGUGG